rnacentral:sRNA from 1 species
GAUGUCAUAAAGAAGGCAAGUGCGGGAGGCAGUCCUCUAGCCACAGUGUCCAUUGCUGCUAUGAUCUGUUGUCAUCGACCACGAAUACUGCUUUGGGGUCGCAGACCAAGCACUAUCAUGCGCUGUCCUUGACAGCAGGGAGUUCCAGGAUUUUCAACCACUUCAGAAGACACUAUGGUAGCUUGCGUCUUUGGUUCUUUGUGGCUAAAUUGGGCCAGUUGAGACUUUCAUCAGGAUGCUGAAAGGUGACAUGAGUCAGGGAAGUGAUUUUCUAAGAACUCUAUUAGUGCAGUGUGUCCAGGAGAGCGUCUUUACCACACCCCAUAGAAACUGAUCUGUCAGCUCCUCUGCCAGCGAGGGAUACAGCGCCGCUCACAGUACAGACUAAAAAGAACAUCCUCCACAUUAUGUAUGACCCAAGUAAAAAGUAAAAACUGGAACAAUAACAACAGGCAAACAACCUUCAGUGGAUCCAAAUAAGAUGUUUCUGAAAGCCUUUGAGCCAUACAUAGCAGGCUGCAGGCAGUUCCGAGGCCCGAUACAAGGUGGAAAGUGCAUAACCAAUGGAACUGAACCCUUCUAAAGGUUUUGGAACACUGUUGGCCAUUUUUCUAAGGAGGAUGGUGACUAAAGAGACAAGAUAGCUACGAGAGUGGAUAUUUGAAGGGGCAAUGUGGAGUCUGAGAUAUAUUCCAUCUAGAUUUCAUGUAUUGCUGUUCUUUUCUUGUUAAAAUGCUGUUCCAAAAUCUCAAUAUGAUGUCAUUGCUUAUCAUCACAGCAGUUGGGAAAUGCACAUGGGUGACUUGAUGUGGGUGUGGUUUUCUAGUGGGCCAGCCUAGCAGAAUCAGUGAGUCCUGAGUCUCAGUAAGAGAUCUUGUUUCAAAAAUCGUGAGUGAGUGUGUGAGUCCUGAAGAACAAGAUCCAACAUGUAUCUCUGGCCUCUGCAUGCCACCAUGCACACAUGUGUACCCGUGUGCACACAUAUGGCUAUACAUGUCCUCCUUAAAUCAUUGUAAUCACCUUCAAAUGCUUUCAGCCAAGAGUUUACCCAAACCAUGACCACAUGGGAAGCAUGCAACACUGAGACUGUCUUCUACAAUCCAUCUUCCCUAACACAUCUAGCAGGGCUCUUGGUUUCUCUCUGUCUCUCUCCCUCUCCCUCUCCUACCCACUCUCUCUCUCCCACACUAUCACACUACUCAAUUUUCUCUUUCAUCCCCAUGCUUUUAUCAUUCAUAAGUGCUAACAUUUCUUGUUUUAUACAGACACUGUUACUUGAUAGACGGUAAAAACAAUUUUUGAGAACAUGAAGACUAUUGGAUGGGAACGGUGUUAACUCAAACAUAUCUGAAAAAGCAGGUUUUUGUUUAAAGUCAUUUUCCAUGAUUCCAAACUCCUUUCUUGGUACUAAUUUCCCUAGCUUCUCUUGCUGCCUUCACUGUUAGUCUCCUUGUCUAAUUAUUUACAGCAGUAAGACUUUCCCAUCAUUCUUGAUUUAAUUUCUUAAUUUAUUCCUUCUUCCAUCCUUAGGAUAUUUAUUGGGUAACCAAAGGGUGAGUGGAGAUUUUUAUGCAGGUCACACCUUCCCGUGAAUAACAAUCUUGGUGGCAGGGAAGUCAGGUUCCUUCUACAGAGAUUAAAAGCCUUACAUCUGCAGAGGUAUUUAAUAACGUAAGGACAUUGGGAUGUUGUCUUGCUAACUUUUAAAGGUAAUUAAAGCUGUAACAGUUCAGGCUCUCCAUUGAUAGGAGUAGAACAUUCUCGAAGCUGCAAGUUGGAGGAGAAGAAGCCAUCCCAAACCUUGCAAGCAAGCAACUCUGAUAUAACUAGGCAGUGAGCUCAUAAAUGAAAUGUAGCUCGCGGAGUCACUGUGCUCAGUGAAUUUUGAAGGUUAAACAUUUCAGUUGUUAAUUUGCUCUUAUUAUUUUAAGUCAGGACAUGCGUAGACUUCAGUUUAUUGAGGUACGUGACUAAUGAAUAUAUGGCAUUUUUACAUACGGGCUAAAAUCCAAAGCAUUCAGUAUACAAAAACACCGAAGGAUUUGUCUAUGUUUAAUCACAGUUACUAAUAAAUUAAAAAACAUAACCAUAAGAUUUCAAAAUGUACUGUGGCUAAGAAAUUCUUACAGAUAGUAGCCUUUAGAUUAGUUCCACAAGGUUCCUUAGAAUAACCCAUACUAUGCCAUAUCCCCCACACAUAGUUCAAAUAUUAAGUCAUCGUUUAUAAGCUUCUUAUAAUUGGUAGCCCCUUAAUUUUUAUCUUUUAAAAAUUAGUUCACAAAGUAAUUGAACUUUUGUGAGUAGUCAUCAUACCUAUUUUAUCUUGGUUGAUUCUUGUCUCUUCCCCAUUGUACCCGUAAUAUGCUUUUUCUAGAAAUCUAACAUUUCCUCUACUGCUCAUCCAUCCAAUCCUUUGCCAAGGGUUCCUUCCCUUUUUUGGUUACAGUGUAGAAUGAGAAGUAUCAUGAAGAAAGGAAAUAGCAAAUGCUCCAGAAUAGUGAACUAGUCUUUUGUUUGUUUUUUUUUGUUUGUAUGGUUGGUCGGUUUUGGUAUGGUUUGGAUUGGUUUUGUUUGAUAACUGUGCCAAAUAUUUUCAAGAAUUAUCUGGAUACUUCACCUUAUUUCUUUGCAACUCACUGCUUACAUUAGUGUGAAGAGGGAAUAAGGAGAGGGGCUUAGCACUCCUGGCUUCCACUUUCUGGGAAUGUUUAAAAUAAAUUACCCUGCUUUUCAAGUAUGCCACACUGGGUAUCAUUCAUUUAC